rnacentral:rRNA from 1 species
GACGAACGCUGGCGGCGUGCUUAACACAUGCAAGUCGAACGGAAAGGCCCGGCGUUUGUGGGGUGCUCGAGUGGCGAACGGGGGAGUAACACGUGAGUAACCUGCCCUUGACUUUGGGAUAACUUCAGGAAACUGGGGCGAAUACAGGAUAGGAGCUCCUGCUGCGUGGGGGGGGUUGGAAAGAUUCGGCGGUUUUGGCUGGACUCGCGGCUUAUCAGCUUGUUGGUGGGGUAGUGGCGUACAACGGCUUUGACGGGUAGCCGGCCUGGGAGGGUGACCGGCCACCUUGGGACUGCGGUACGGCCCAGACUCCUACGGGACGCAGCAGUGGGGAAUAUUGCACAAUGGGCGGAAGCCUGAUGCAGCAACGCCGCGUGCGGGAUGCCGGCCUUCGGGUUGUAAACCGCUUUCUCCUGUGACGAAGCGUGAGUGACGGUACUGGGUAAAGAAGCACCGGCUAACUACGUG